GUUUAAACAAAAGUUUGUCACCUGUCUGCAUUGAACUUGUAGAUGCCCUGCUUUAAUUUGGGGAGACAGUUUAUGGCUUAAAGAAGGGUAAUUGUGAGCAGAAACGUUAUCAAAGCUUUAUUUUUGGCAGCAGCUUUGCAGAACGACACAAGGUGUGUUCUCCUGCGUCUUGUGUAGUUUCGAGCUCCUGCUCCGCUGAAAGCGCUCACCCUCGCCUUGGAUGGGGCCCAUAAAUGCCUUUGUCACCUCAGGUGGAGCCAUCGGGGGCUCUCCGAAACAAACUCCGUUAACCCUUCCCUGCCCAGCACACUCUAAACGACUUACAUUGGUGGCAGCUCUUUGAAGAACCAGCGGUGGAAAACUUUUCCGUUCGGUUUGGGAAUGUGGCACAGCCCCUGCUUCGGACAGAAAGACAGCCGUCCAAAGGAAAUGAGCAUCAAUUCUCAGAGCUUGGCCACCGUCCGUGCGAUGGAGCAAUGUAGCUAGGGCUGUGGGUUGACUUGCGCUUGCAUCACUGCAACCCCGAACCAGAUUGCAUCUGCAGUCAUCUGACUUCAUGCCCGAACUGAUAAAUGGUGCUGUGGAAGCGUGGAUCUCGAGGGCCUUGGCAAGAUGCUUUUGCAGUAUCCUGUCCCCUCGUUGUGUCAUCCUCUGGAAGACAGGAGAAUGAGAAUCAGCGGCGUGCCAGUAACCUGCAAGCAGUUGGAGAACUCCUGUGUGAAAAAGAGCAACCAUGCAGCGUGAGCGCAGCGAACUCGUGCCUCCCAACAACCUGCAGUUGCGACUGUGUUCCCCCCACGGGAACUGAUGCCAGAUUCUCCCUCUGGUUAUCUGUGUUCUUCUCUCUUACUGUAACAAAUUUGUUGCUCUCCAGCUCCCACAUGUUAACGGAAAAAUGCAGAUAUUCCCCGUGCAGAUUAAGCGAGGUUAACAAAUUGGCACUUGUAAUCGAGUCCUGUCCCUGGCUGCUGCCACAUGGGGCAUGCACUUGGUGAGGCCUCUGGGAAUUUUCCGUGUGUAGGGCGCAGGAUUUCGCCCUGGCAAAGGGCGCUGGCCUAAAAGGGGUAGCAAGAGGUGAGCUUUUUGGGGAAAAAUGUGUAAUUAUUUUGUAUAGGUAUUUUUGGGGUGAAAACCCACCGUGUGCGCAUGUUUAUGUAACAGAUGUAAAAAGCAUUUUUUUUUCAUUAAACCACCAAAAGCGGUAAGCC
rnacentral:lncRNA from 1 species